GACAGAGGGUGCAAACGUUGCUCGGAAUUACUGGGCGUAAAGCGCGUGUAGGUGGACCACCAAGUCGGACGUGAAAGCCCUGAGCUCAACUCAGGAACUGCAUCCGAAACUGGCGGUCUGGAGUAGUGGAGAGGAAAGCAGAAUUCCUGGUGUAGAGGUGAAAUUCGUAGAUAUCAGGAGGAACACCGGUGGCGAAGGCGGCUUUCUGGACACUUACUGACGCUGAGACGCGAAAGCGUGGGGAGCAAACAGG
rnacentral:rRNA from 1 species